rnacentral:rRNA from 1 species
CCCCUUUCGCUGCUACCAUGCAAGNUCGAGCGGUANAGAGAAGCUUGUCUUCUCUUGAGAGCGGCGGACGGGUGAAGUAAUGCCUANGCAAUCUGCCUGGUAGAUGGGGGAUAACGAUUCGGAAACGGACGCUAAUACCGCAUACGUCCUACGGGAGAAAGCAGGGCGACCUUCGGGCCUUGCGCUAUCAGAUGAGCCUAGGUCGGAUUANCUANUUGGUGAGGUAAUGGCUCACCAAGGCGACGAUCCGUAACUGGUCUGAGAGGAUGAUCAGUCACACUGGAACUGAGACACGGUCCAGACUCCUACGGNAGGCAGCAGUGGGGAAUAUUGGACAAUGGNCGAAAGCCUGAUCCAGCCAUGCCGCGUGUGUGAAGAAGGUCUUCGGAUUGUAAAGCACUUUAAGUUGGGAGGAAGGGCAGUUACCUAAUACGUGAUUGUUUUGACGUUACCGACAGAAUAAGCACCGGCUAACUCUGUGCCAGCAGCCGCGGUAAUACAGAGGGUGCAAGCGUUAAUCGGAAUUACUGGGCGUAAAGCGCGCGUAGGUGGUUUGUUAAGUUGGAUGUGAAAUCCCCGGGCUCAACCUGGGAACUGCAUUCAAAACUGACUGACUAGAGUAUGGUAGAGGGUGGUGGAAUUUCCUGUGUAGCGGUGAAAUGCGUAGAUAUAGGAAGGAACACCAGUGGCGAAGGCGACCACCUGGACUAAUACUGACAC